GGACCAUCAUGUCGGUCGUGCCUCGGUACGUACUGGCAUUGUUGGUUUCUCCCUUCUGAGGAACUUUCAUGUCAUUAAUUUGGUGUGAUUGGAAAUCAGGACUGUUACUUUGAAAAAAUUAGAGUGUUUAAAGCAGGCUAACGUCUGAAUACAUUAGCAUGGAAUAAUGAAAUAGGACGGACUGAUUCUAUUUCGUUGGUUUCUAGGAUCACCGUA
rnacentral:rRNA from 1 species